CAGCGCGGGCCGGAGUGCGGCCGAGACUGGCAGCCGUGGGACAUGACGGCAGGCCGCCAGGCCGAGGGCUCGGGUACGGACCCCGCCUCCGCGCGGCUGCCCUCCCGGGUGGCCAAGCUACUGUCGGCACUCUUCUACGGGACCUGCUCCUUCCUCCUCGUGCUGGUCAACAAGGCGCUGCUGACCACCUACCGUUUCCCAUCACCAAUUGUUCUUGGAAUUGGACAGAUGGCAGUUACCAUAAUGAUACUAUAUGUGUCCAAGCUAAAUAAAGUAAUUCACUUCCCUGAUUUUGACAAGAAAAUUCCUAUUAAGCUGUUUCCUCUGCCUCUCCUCUACGUUGGAAACCACAUAAGUGGAUUAUCAAGCACAAGUAAAUUAAGCUUGCCGAUGUUCACCGUGCUCAGGAAAUUUACCAUUCCACUUACUUUACUCCUGGAAACCAUCAUACUCGGGAAACAGUAUUCCUUGAACAUCAUUGUCAGUGUCUUUGCCAUCAUUCUUGGUGCUUUCAUAGCAGCUGGUUCUGACCUUGCUUUUAACUUGGAAGGCUAUAUUUUUGUAUUCCUGAAUGAUAUCUUCACAGCAGCGAAUGGUGUUUAUACCAAACAGAAAAUGGACCCAAAGGAGUUAGGGAAAUAUGGAGUGCUUUUCUACAAUGCCUGCUUCAUGAUUAUCCCAACUCUUAUCAUUAGUGUCUCUACUGGAGACCUUCGACAGGCUACUGAAUUCAACCAAUGGAAGAAUGUUCUAUUUAUCACACAGUUUCUUCUUUCCUGUUUUUUGGGGUUUCUGUUGAUGUACUCCACACUUUUGUGCAGCUAUUACAAUUCGGCCCUGACGACGGCGGUGGUUGGAGCCAUCAAGAAUGUAUCCAUUGCCUACAUUGGAGUGUUAGUAGGUGGAGACUACAUUUUCUCUGUAUUAAACUUUGUAGGGUUAAAUAUUUGCAUGGCAGGGGGCUUGAGAUACUCCUUUUUAACUUUAAACAGCCAGUUAAAACCUAAACAACCUGUGGACGAAGAAAACAUCCCUCAAGAUUUGAAGGGCUAGAACCUGGGGCAAAAUUGCAGACUGGCUUGCAGACUGGCUUGCAGACUGGGGGGAAUGAGGGAAUAUUCCCAGCUGUUUUGGUUGUGGCACUCGCCCCUGGUUAAGGCACAACAGGAAUGUCUGCAAAAUGCAAAGAGAAUCUACAUCAUGUGCUGCAUGAGGAGCCAUCAUCAGCCCUGAGAAAUGUAUCCGGGCAAAGCCUUACCAGCUGAAAGUGAAUCUUCUCAAAAUAAACCACUGGUGAAAGGGAUUGUUUCCAAGGCACUUGCGUGGACCACACAACUGUGUGCUGUUCCAGGUUUGUUCAGGGGCUUUGAAAUUCAGAUCAUAUGGACUUUAACCAAGUGUGGAAAGACUUCUGCUUCCAUGUGUGGCCAGCAGAGGGCACCCUAAGAACAGUCCAGCAGUCCUUGCAGCUGGGUUGAAACUUGCGAUUUCUGCUCUUCCUCUACAGAACCAGAUUCCCGUGGUGGGAGGUUUAUGGUAGUGCCAAUCUGGCUUUUGAGUUAAGGUUAGCUGAGAAUGCUGGAUGCAGAGAGGUGGUGCGAAAGGGAUCCAUGAGUUCCAAGGAGGCUAAAGAAGAAAUGUAGCCCCGUGCCCCAGGUCUCUGGAUUUCUUUAAAAAAAAAAUAAAAAAAUAAAAACCAUUCUGGAUGGAACAAGGAAAAUUAGUUUAAUAUUCUUGAUAUUUUGCUUAUGUCUGGCUAUUUUACUGCUAAAAACAGUUACAUUUGUUAACUUGGACUUUUUCUUGCUGUUUUAAUAUUUUUCUAUAUAUUAGAUAUAUAAGUACAAGUACAGGGGCACUGGAGUUUUGUGACAGCUGAGUUUGCCUAAAGAAUGAAACCUAGUUUAGAGAAGAGUUAUAUAUUUUAUAUAUUAUUAUUAUUGUAUAUUUAUAUAUUACAUAUUAUUUUAAUUUAUAUAUAUUUUCUGUGCUCUCAGGAAAAUGGCAAAGGUACAUAUGUCAAUACUUUCAGAGACUUUAGUGACGUUUUUCCUUUUGCAUCAUCAUGUCAACUUUUCAGUCUUGGUGAGUCAUUUUUAUGACUUGUGAGUAAUUUCUGUUUUCUUUGAAUGGAUAUGUGUACCUGUGCAUACAUUUUGAGUGCUGGGACUUGCCAAGGGUCAGCGAUUUAGCUGACCAGUAGCUGCUACUCCGUGGUAGCUUUGGGAAACUGAGGGCACCCAGCGCUCAGAAUGUCCAAGUUCUCUUUCUGUCAUUAGAUACUGAAGCACAUGGUAAAACAAAGCAUGCCUCUUUAGGAUGAAACCAGAAACCCCAAGCCAUUCCUGGGGACUCUCACAGUCAGGGAAUACCAUCUGUGUACCUCUGACUCUCACCUCCACUCCAGGUUGAGGUCCCCCAUGAUAAGCCUCAGAACCUUUUCUCUGCAAUGUGACCUGGACCAGAACAUCGCAUUACCUGGGGCUUGUUACAAAUGCAGAAUAUCAGGGUGCACACACUGAAUAGGAAUCUGCAUUUUAACCCAGGUGAUUUGAGAAGCACUACCCCAGACUUUUGGCCCAGACCAUAUUUUUAGUACCAAGGGUUCAUAACCUGGGGUUCACAGAAUUUAGUGGGCUGGUGAACUUGGAUGGGGAAAGAAUACAUCUUGAUUUUUCCCCAACCAAAAUUUAGCAUUUCUUUUCAUUUGAAUGUAGGCAAGACCACAGUAAUAUUGGCUGUGCUUGUGACUUUGUUAUCAAUAGAAAUUGAAAUACUUUCAUAUCACUUUAUAGUUUUUGUAGAAAGUCAUUUAUGUGCUGCUCAGUAUUCUGGUAGUUAUUAGUGCCUCCACUAGUUCUUGUUAUUUAAUAUGUUCAUAAAGAAGAAUAUUUUUAGUACAUCAUAUUUAGAAAAUAUUGCAGUAACUUUUUAUGGUAACUGGUUUUCUUUAUAAUUUUAUGUAUUUUAUUUCAUGUAUUUAAAAACAUUAUUUGGAGAAGGAGGCUGUAGCCAUCCCUAGACUGCUGUUGUAGUUUAUGGCACUGAAAAUAGUAAGGACCCCUGCCUUAGAGAGAAAGAAAAAAUUCCAGAUUAAUAUGUUUCCUCAAGAAGUUGUUCCAUUUUUGGCCUUAGUACCAGCGGAGGCUUGCUCCUAGAUGGGUAUAGAUAAGCCCGGGGAAAUUUUUACAUCUGCUACCUGGUGGGAAGGCAUCAUCCUCCACCCGGUGUGGUCAACUGUCUGCAGCUAGAGGGAGAAAGAGGGAGAGGGAAA